rnacentral:rRNA from 1 species
GGAUUAGAUACCCUAUUAUUAUAGAUAUAAAUUUUGGACUUGAGUAGUAUUAGUUAUGAUCUUGAAACUUAAAGAAUUUGGCGGUAUUUUAGUCUAUUUAGAGGAAUCUGUUCCAUUAUCGAUAUUCCACGUUGAACCUUACUUAAUUUAUUAAUAUGUAUACCGCCGUUUAUUGAAAAUCUUAUUAGGGUAAAAUUUUCUUAAUACAAAAUUUUGUAAUAUUUCAGGUCAAGGUGCAGUUUAUAAUUAAGUGGAAAUGG